rnacentral:rRNA from 1 species
AAUUGAUAACAUAAGGGAAAAUAAUGAUAUUACCUUAUUAUAAGUGUCGUCCAAAUCUGGUGCCAGAAGACUCGGUAAGGCCAGAGACACAAACGUUAAUCGUCUUAAUCAGGCGUAAAGGGUUUGUAGGCGGCUUUAAAAUUUACUUAUAAAAAAAUAAAUAAUAAGUAAAAAAUAAAAGCUAGAAUCAAAUAGAGGAUAUAUGAAAGAAUGUUUAGAGUAGGUCUGAUAUCCUUAGAUACUAAGUAGAAUAUUAAAGGCGAAAGCUUUUUUCCAUUAAUGAUUGACGCUCAGAAACGAAGGUGAGGAUAGGAAAUAGGAUUAGAUACCCAGAAUACCCCUCUCUGUCAACGAUGAAUGGUAGUUAUUAGUAAAAAAUAUUAAUGGCAAUGUUAACACGAUAACCAUUCCGCCUUGCGAGUACGGUUG